UACGGGGGGGGCAAGCGUUGUUCGGAAUUACUGGGCGUAAAGGGCUCGUAGGCGGCCAACUAAGUCCGACGUGAAAUCCCUCGGCUUAACCGGGGAACUGCGUCUGAUACUGGAUGGCUUGAGUUUGGGAGAGGGAUGCGGAAUUCCAGGUGUAGCGGUGAAAUGCGUAGAUAUCUGGAGGAACACCGGUGGCGAAGGCGACAUCCUGGACCGGUAUUGACGCUGAGGCGCGAAAGCCAGGGGAGCAAAGCGGG
rnacentral:rRNA from 1 species